GACGAACGCUGGCGGCGUGCUUAACACAUGCAAGUCGAACGGAAAGGCCCUGCUUUUGUGGGGUGCUCGAGUGGCGAACGGGUGAGUAACACGUGAGUAACCUGCCCUUGACUUUGGGAUAACUUCAGGAAACUGGGGCUAAUACCGGAUAGGAGCUCCUGCUGCAUGGUGGGGGUUGGAUAGUUUCGGCGGUUGGGGAUGGACUCGCGGCUUAUCAGCUUGUUGGUGGGGUAGUGGCUUACCAAGGCUUUGACGGGUAGCCGGCCUGAGAGGGUGACCGGCCACAUUGGGACUGAGAUACGGCCCAGACGCCUACGGGAGGCAGCAGUGGGGAAUAUUGCACAAUGGGCGGAAGCCUGAUGCAGCAACGCCGCGUGCGGGAUGACGGCCUUCGGGUUGUAAACCGCUUUCGCCUGUGACGAAGCGUGAGUGACGGUAAUGGGUAAAGAAGCACCGGCUAACUACGUG
rnacentral:rRNA from 1 species